CCCACAUCUGUCCUUAGUGUGACCUUUCUACAAUGUACUGUAUUUGAAAGAAUAUUUCUUUUAGCAUGUUUUACAUUUAUUAUGCAAGAACAGCCUCAAGAACAGUGAAGAAUAUGGUGAAUGCCACGCUAUUUGACAAACAGGUGGCAGAGAGACUUCAUAAAAUUUAGUUAUACUUGUGCUAAGACCUAAAAUUAGGGGUGCGCUCACUUUGGGCAGAGGGACUAGUAUAGUAAGCAAAGGCAUGUUCUGAAUCAGGAAUGGAAGUUACUGAGCCGUGGCAGUAAGGGAAACGAGCAAGGUCUCCUGUCUUGGUCGUGGACUGUCUCUAUCACUUUCCUUGUCACUGGAACCCACUGCCUGACACCCUCAAUUAGGGGGAGUGGUAUUUUAGCUCACCGUUACAGCCCAUAGCUAGCUGGUUCCAGGAAGGAUGGCUCUGCAGAGGGGCAGGGUGGAGGAAAAUCUGCGCAUGUCCGGGCAGAUAGGAAGCAAAGAGAGGAGGGAGGACCUGGGGCGGGCAUCUGCUCUUUCUGGUUUUGCUCCUCCCUUGUGCCCAGACCCUGCUGAUCAGGCCCGGCCUUCUAACAGAAGUCAUCAAUAGCGCCCCCUCUGGUCCAGUCAUCUUUCAAAGGCCCUGCCUCUGAGCACAUGAAGCUUUGUGGCGACCUCUAGAUAUAAACUGCAACAUGAUUUUGGAUGAGCAAGGAUGAAAUACAUAAAUAAUCCUUACCAUUUUGGAUUUCUAUUUGAGCAUGUGGUCAUCUAAUAGUAUUAUAGCCAUAACAGAACCAGUUGGAUAUAUUACUUAAACGUAGUUAGAUUCUCACCACUAAGUAUUCUAAGUGGUUUUUACUUAUCACAGUGGCUAUUGUACGUGUUUCUCACCCUUUCAGACACCAUCCUUGUUCUUCCCAAUCUCUUGAGAUUUUUGGCUUUGAAGUGGGAGCCAUUUCCUCUCUAUGACGCAACUUCCUGUCUCCUGGCUUCAGAGCUGCUCCUCCCUUUGCCUCUCCUAUCCCCGUCCUACACUCUUUCCGGAUCUGUUACCUCAUCGAAUCACUUUGCAGAGAAACAAUAAAUCUGCUCCCACACAUGUAACCUCCCAUGGGCCCUGAACCUCUUGCAAUCCAGUUGCUCUCUUCCCUUUUUUGUAGUUAAUACUUUUGUACUGUCUUAAAUAUCAGAGUAAGUUAACCUUUUUUCCUCCCAGUUUGAACUCCAUUUCUUAACUCUUUCUUUCUCUUUAGAUUUCAUGCAAAUCGAUCUCCCCUUCUCUUUGAUUAUCAAAUCUUUUGUCUUUCCAAGAGGAUGAAUUCUUUAUCAAUAAGUGUUCUCCAGAGAACUAGAACCCAUGUAAUGUACUAUAAUUAGAAGAAAGGAGCUUUUAGACUGGCUCACAUGGUUGUAGGCUGAAUAAUCUCACAGUUAGUCUCACAGUGGCCAUUUGUAGACCAGAGAGUCAGGAAAAUCAGUAACUCCUCAGCCCAAGAAAGCAGAUACCUCAGAACAAAUGCAGGCCUAGUUUGAGGCCAAACACGUACAAGUCCACUGGUGAGACCCAGGUACUAGUCUACACUCAAAGGUUGGAGAACCUGCAUUCUGAUGUUCAUGGUUGGCAGCUGCAGAAGAGCACACCUGAUCAACAGGUUGAGCCCAGAUUGUGAAUGAUUUGUGAAUACUCCAUUGCUUUGUAACAAACGACCCCAUUUCCUGCUCCUCGGGACCCAGCCAGCACUAUUAUAACUCCCACUGAGUCAGCUGGAGGCUGUCUUUGGAGCCACUUUGCUGCUGAAGUGUCUUUUCUGCCCCAUUCAGCUGUGUCCCUGCCACCUCUGACCAGCAUUUGUUUUGAAAACUCUCCUUAAUUGUUAUGAUUGGAAUAUAUUUGUGUCUUCUGAAACUUGCGUAGAAAUUUGACCAUCCUUGUGGUAGUGUGGGUAAGCUGGACUUUUAAGAGAUGAAGUCAUGAAGAGAGAGUAAUGCAGUUCUCGGGGAAGUGGGUUCAUUCUCGCAAGAGUAGAUUCUUAUAAAUUGAGUCUGGACUUGAAUUUUUUUUUUUUUUGCUGCUUUUUCUCUAUUAUGGCAUAGCACAAAGCCCUCAUAAGAGCUAGAAAUCUGACCUUGAACCUCACUCUCCAGAAGAAGAACUAAAUAAAACUUCUUUAUGAAUUACUUACUGCCUGCCAUUCUGUUAUAGGAACAGAAAAUGGACUAAGACGUUAGUAAAAUUCUGCAUGCUAAAUUUUGUCUCAGAAUCUGUUUCCUGGGAAACCUAAUCUGACCAGUCAACAUAACGACAAAAAUCUCACAUUUAAAAAAAGUAAGAGACAGAGUCUCAUUCUAAAAUAUUAUGGGUUUUUUAUAAGUUCAGGGAAAUAUUUUAAUCAUGCAAAGUCUUAUGAAUACAGUCAUAAAAUGAACAGAUUCAUGAAAUUAUACUGUUAACCUGCAAUUACAGCUCUUAGACAGCUUGAAUAGUUGAAGUGUGAUAUUACAGAACAAAUAGGCAGACUAUCUCACCAAUUUUCAGAUAAGUUUUUCAGUAAAAAUGCCAGCAAAAGGGGUUUUUAAAUUCCAGGAUUGACAAUUAAUGUUGAUCAAUGAAUUUAUGUCUGAAGAGGUGUUUUAAAAUCCUGACAAUUUUAUGUUACAAACAUAUAGGUGCUUAGGUUUUUAGAAAACUAAUUACUUGUUAAGAUCUUUUGUUGUUAACAUGUAGACC